rnacentral:rRNA from 1 species
UGUUGCACUGUCCGAGUUGUAGAUGAGGAGUAGUCCAUCUGGGCUGCAUGGCGUCCAAGUACAAUAGGCCGUCAGUGGGACAUCAUAGAGGGUGACAAUCCCGUCCUUGAUGCCAAUGUGCAAGUCCGUUACGAUGGCUAUCUCAGAGAGUCGAGCAGUUUGGGAUUUGCUGCUUAAACAUGGGAGGUAGAUUCCUUCUAAAGCUAAAUACAGGCGAGAGACCGAUAGAGAACAAGUACCGCAAGGGAAAGAUGAAAUAGAACUCUGUGAAGGGAGUCAAAAGGCGUGAAAUUGUUGCGAGAGAAGCGAUUCAAGUCAGCGUAGCUAGGCCCAUCAAGCGUCUCGCUUUGGACUAGCUUUGCCAGCGGUCUUGUCCUCGGAGACUUGACAAUACGACGUGUCCAGCCUGGUAUGCACAGGCAGCCCCCUGGGGCCAGCGGCACGGCUGGUGGAAUGGCUUGCAAUCGACCCGUCUUGAAACACGGACCAAGGAGUCUAACAUGUAUGCGAGUAUAA